rnacentral:rRNA from 1 species
CACGGAGGGGACAAGUGUUACUCGUCAUAAUUGGGCGUAAAGGGUAUGUAGGUGGUUUUUUAAGUUAAGAAUAAAAGGUUUGAUAAAAAAUCAUACAGAGUUUUUAAGACUGAAAUACUAGAGUUUAGUAGAAGAAAAUGGUAUUUAUAUUGUAGAGGUGCAAUUCUGGCAUAAUGUAAAGACAUCCGAAGGCGAAGGCAAUUUUCUAGGUUGGACUGACACUGAGGUACGAAAGCAUAGGGAGCAAAUAGG